rnacentral:rRNA from 1 species
UACGUAGGGGGCAAGCGUUAUCCGGAUUUACUGGGUGUAAAGGGAGCGUAGACGGCUGUGCAAGCCAGAUGUGAAAGCCCGGGGCUCAACCCCGGGACUGCAUUUGGAACUGUGUAGCUGGAGUGUCGGAGAGGCAGGCGGAAUUCCUAGUGUAGCGGUGAAAUGCGUAGAUAUUAGGAGGAACACCAGUGGCGGAGGCGGCCUGCUGGACGAUGACUGACGUUGAGGCUCGAAAGCGUGGGGAGCAAACAGG